GAGACUCUGUGCGCGUGCAUAUCAAUAAGCGGAGGAAAAGAAACUAACUAGGAUUCCCUCAGUAACGGCGAGUGAAGCGGGAAGAGCUCAAAUUUGAAAUCUUCAAGGUUCUACCUUGACGAAUUGUAGUUUAAAGAAGUGUUUUCUGUUGGAGUUUUGGUAAAAGUUCUUUGGAAUAGGACAUCAUAGAGGGUGAGAAUCCCGUAUUUGGUCAUUCUUUCUAGCUUUGUGAUACACUUUCAACGGGUCGGAUUGUUUGGGAAUGCAGUCCAAAAUGGGUGGUAAAUUUCAUCUAAAGCUAAAUAUUGGCGAGAGACCGAUAGCGAACAAGUACCGUGAGGGAAAGAUGAAAAGAACUUUGAAAAGAGAGUUAAACAGUACGUGAAAUUGUCAAAAGGGAAGCGUUUGACACCAGUGUUGUUUUUCCGAAAAUCAAUUACGAAUGUUUUAUUUUUGAGAAGUUAUGACUUCAUCGGCUUGCUUCUCUCUUUAUGAAACUUUCUUAAUGCACUUUUCGGUUAACAAGUCAACAUCAAUUUCUUUUGUUGUAAAAGGGUAUGAGGAAGGUGGCUUUCUUUUCGGAGAAAGUGUUUAUAGCCUUGUACCUCUGCAAUCGGAGAGAUUGAGGUCUGCAGCGUAGAUCCUUCGGGGUUAGAUACAUUUGUGCUAAGUUAUAGCUUUUCAUAGACAACUUGUUGACUAUGUUUAGUCUUGUAGCUUACUCGCUUAUGCUAUUUUACCUACGCUUAGGAUGUUGAAGAUGUAGCACAUCAU
rnacentral:rRNA from 1 species